rnacentral:rRNA from 1 species
UACGAAGGGGGCUAGCGUUGCUCGGAAUCACUGGGCGUAAAGGGUGCGUAGGCGGGUUUUUAAGUCAGGGGUGAAAUCCUGGAGCUCAACUCCAGAACUGCCUUUGAUACUGAAGAUCUUGAGUCCGGGAGAGGUGAGUGGAACUGCGAGUGUAGAGGUGAAAUUCGUAGAUAUUCGGAAGAACACCAGUGGCGAAGGCGGCUUUCUGGCCGUGUUCUUGACGCUGAGGCGCGAAAGCUAGGGGAGCAAACGGG